rnacentral:rRNA from 1 species
UCCAGACUCCUACGGGAGGCAGCAGUGGGGAAUAUUGCACAAUGGGCGCAAGCCUGAUGCAGCCAUGCCGCGUGUGUGAAGAAGGCCUUCGGGUUGUAAAGCACUUUCAGCGGGGAGGAAGGCGAUAAGGUUAAUAACCUUGUCGAUUGACGUUACCCGCAGAAGAAGCACCGGCUAACUCCGUGCCAGCAGCCGCGGUAAUACGGAGGGUGCAAGCGUUAAUCGGAAUUACUGGGCGUAAAGCGCACGCAGGCGGUCUGUCAAGU